UACGUAGGGGGCAAGCGUUGUCCGGAAUCAUUGGGCGUAAAGAGCGUGUAGGCGGCUCGGUAAGUCCGCUCUGAAAGCCCGGGGCUCAACCCCGGGAGGCGGGCGGAUACUGUCGGGCUAGAGUCCGGAAGAGGCGAGUGGAAUUCCUGGUGUAGCGGUGAAAUGCGCAGAUAUCAGGAGGAACACCGGUGGCGAAGGCGGGUCUCUGGGCCGAAACUAACGCUGAGGAGCGAAAGCGUGGGGAGCGAACAGG
rnacentral:rRNA from 1 species